rnacentral:rRNA from 1 species
UUCCGGUUGAUCCUGCCGGACCCCACUGCUAUCGAGGUGGGACUAAGCCAUGCCAGUCGAACGACCCGGACUAUGGCGGGGAGUGGCAGACUGCUCAGUAACACGUAGCUAACCUACCCUCGGGACGGGGAUAACCCCGGGAAACUGGGGCUAAUACCCGAUAGGUAUGGAUUCCUGGAAUGGUGCCAUGCCUAAACGUAAGCACAUCCAUGUUUGUGUGCACGCCCGAGGAUGGGGCUGCGGCCGAUCAGGCAGUUGGUGAGGUAACGGCUCACCAAACCUUUGACCGGUACGGGCCAUGAGAGUGGUAGCCCGGAGAUGGGCACUGAGACAAGGGCCCAGGCCCUACGGGGCGCAGCAGGCGCGAAACCUCCACAAUUCACGCAAGUGAGAUGGGGUUACCUCGAGUGCCAUCUGAAGAAGGUGGCUUUUCCAUGGUGUAAUGAGCCGUGGGAAUAAGGGGGGGGCAAGACUGGUGUCAGCCGCCGCGGUAACACCAGCCCCCCGAGUGGUGGGGAUGAUUAUUUGGCCUAAAGCGUCCGUAGCCAGCUCGGUAAAUCUCUCGUUAAAUCCAGCGUCCUAAGCGUUGGGCUGCGAGGGAAACUGCCGAACUAGAGGGUGGGAGAGGUCAGCGGUAUUCCUGGGGUAGGGGCGAAAUCCAUUGAUCCCAGGAGGACCACCAGUGGCGAAGGCUGCUGACUAGAACACGCCUGACGGUGAGGGACGAAAGCUGGGGUAGCGAAUCGGAUUAGAUACCCGAGUAGUCCCAGCCGUAAACGAUGCAUGCUAGGUGUUGGGUCGGCCAUGCGCCGCCUCAGUGCCACAGGGAAGCCAUUAAGCCUGCCGCCUGGGGAGUACGGCCGCAAGGCUGAAACUUAAAGGAAUUGGCGGGGGAGCACCACCAGGCGUGAAGCCUGCGUUUAAUUUGAGUCAACGCCGGA